rnacentral:rRNA from 1 species
UACAGAGGGUGCGAGCGUUAAUCGGAAUUACUGGGCGUAAAGCGUGCGUAGACGGUUAUUUAAGUCGGGUGUGAAAGCCCCCGGGCUCAACCUGGGAAUUGCAUUCGAGACUGAAUACUAGGGUACGUAGAGGGAAGUGGAAUUUCCGGUGUAGCGGUGAAAUGCGUAGAUAUCGGAAGGAACAUCAGUGGCGAAAGCGACUUCCUGGACCAGUACCGACGUUCAGGCACGAA